rnacentral:rRNA from 1 species
GUAGUCUCGCACAGAUGCAUAUCAAUAAGCGGAGGAAAAGAAACUAACAAGGAAUUCCCUCAGUAACGGCGAGUGAAGCGGGAAGAGCUCAAAUUUGAAAUCUUGAAAGGUCACCUUUCACGAAUUGUAGUUUAAAGAAGUGUUUUCUGUUACGAUCGUAAUAUAAGUUCUUUGGAAUAGGACAUCACAGAGGGUGAGAAUCCCGUCUAUGAUUGCGAUUUGUAGCUUUGUGAUACACUUUCAAAGAGUCGGGUUGUUUGGGAAUGCAGCCCAAAACGGGAGGUAAAUUUCUUCUAAGGCUAAAUAUUGGCGAGAGACCGAUAGCGAACAAGUACCGUGAGGGAAAGAUGAAAAGAACUUUGAAAAGAGAGUUAAACAGUACGUGAAAUUGUCAAAAGGGAAGCGUUUAACACCAGUGUUGUUUUCUGAAAAUCAACCUCUGUUAGCUUUAUGCAUGUUUGUUUAGACCUAAUCAGCUAUCUUGCAUGUUCUAUUGUUUGCAGUGGUGCACUUUUCAGUUUACAGGUCAACAUCAGUUUUUUUUACCGUAAAAAAGUUAAAGAAAGGUAGCUCAUGGCUCCGGUCGUGAGUGUUAUAGUCUUUUUCCUAUGCGGUAGGAGAGACUGAGGUCUGCAGUGUAGGCUAUUUGGCUAGAUACUCAGGUGCUAUGUGAUACCAUUUCAUAAACAACUUGUUGAUUAUGUUUUGUCUAUUGCAUACUCGCUUGUACUAUCAUACCUACGCUUAGGAUGUUGAGUCGUAGAGCACGCAG